rnacentral:rRNA from 1 species
CGAGACCUUCGGGUCUAGUGGCGCACGGGUGCGUAACGCGUGGGAAUCUGCCCUUAGGUACGGAAUAACUCAGAGAAAUUUGUGCUAAUACCGUAUGAUGUCGAAAGACCAAAGAUUUAUCGCCUAAGGAUGAGCCCGCGUAAGAUUAGCUUGUUGGUGAGGUAAAAGCUCACCAAGGCGACGAUCUUUAGCUGGUCUGAGAGGAUGAUCAGCCACACUGGGACUGAGACACGGCCCAGACUCCUACGGGAGGCAGCAGUGGGGAAUAUUGGACAAUGGGCGAAGGCCUGAUCCAGCAAUGCCGCGUGAGUGAUGAAGGCCUUAGGGUUGUAAAGCUCUUUUACCAGGGAUGAUAAUGACAGUACCUGGAGAAUAAGCUCCGGCUAACUCCGUGCCAGCAGCCGCGGUAAUACGGAGGGAGCUAGCGUUGUUCGGAAUUACUGGGCGUAAAGAGUACGUAGGCGGUGAUUCAAGUCAGAGGUGAAAGCCUGGAGCUCAACUC